GCUUGCAUUCAUAUCAUCAUUGUCUAUGAUCUCAACUCAUAAAUUAAGUAAGGUUGGGUUUUGUCAGUUCUUGGAUAGGAGACCUCCAAGGAAAACCCAGAUGGUGCAGGCA
rnacentral:rRNA from 1 species